UACGUAGGGUGGCAAGCGUUAUCCGGAAUUAUUGGGCGUAAAGCGCGCGCAGGUGGUUUCUUAAGUCUGAUGUGAAAGCCCACGGCUCAACCGUGGAGGGUCAUUGGAAACUGGGAGACUUGAGUGCAGAAGAGGAAAGUGGAAUUCCAUGUGUAGCGGUGAAAUGCGUAGAGAUAUGGAGGAACACCAGUGGCGAAGGCGACUUUCUGGUCUGUAACUGACACUGAGGCGCGAAAGCGUGGGGAGCAAACAGG
rnacentral:rRNA from 1 species